rfam:Parcubacteria group bacterium RIFCSPHIGHO2_01_FTLL_45_26 rifcsphigho2_01_scaffold_32379, whole genome shotgun sequence.
GCCGGCGUAGUUCAACGGUUAGAACAGGUCACUCAUAACGAUCAAACGAAAGUUCGACUCUUUCCGCCGGCA